UCCCUAAUAGCUCAGUUGGUAAAGAAUCUGUCUGCAAUGCAGGAGGCCCUGGUUCGAUUCCUGGGUUGGGAA
rnacentral:tRNA from 1 species